rnacentral:lncRNA from 1 species
CUGCAGGGAUGUCAUGGACGCCUUCCAGGCCUGCCUGAAGUCAGCAGGACAGGCGACGGAGUGAGCACGCUGGGUCUGACCACUGGUCGGCUGCACCGAGUCCUCCUCCAUCCCAGCAUCCCCCGGCUCACUGCUCCAUCGGCUCGUCCUUCGUGAUGCGGGGAAGCGGAGGGGGGGAGAGGGGGUUUAAAACAGCCGGCGGUGUCUCUUUUUCAACUCCGCCCCCAACCCCCCCCCCUCUCUUUCAGUUCUGCCAGUGUGUCAGCCUGCUGGUGUUCAUGUGUCUCUCUCUGUGUCGGCGCCCGGCUCCAGAGAACAGGCUCUUUCAGCCCUCCAGGUCCCAGUGUGCCAGUGUGUGCGUGCUCUGCCUCUCUGGCCACUCCAACUCUGGGGGCUGGGGGCUCUUCAAGAGCUCUGUAGCCCGUAAAGCCUGGAGUGGAUCAGGCUGGCCUGCAGUGGGACUGUGAUUAGAAGCACUUCAAGCCUCGAGAGAGGGUCACAC